GAUGAACGCUGGCGGCGUGCUUAACACAUGCAAGUCGAACGAUGAAGCUCAGCUUGCUGGGUGGAUUAGUGGCGAACGGGUGAGUAACACGUGAGUAAUCUGCCCUUAACUCUGGGAUAAGCCUGGGAAACUAGGUCUAAUACCGGAUAGGAGCGCCUACCGCAUGGUGGGUGUUGGAAAAAUUUAUCGGUUUUGGAUGGACUCGCGGCCUAUCAGCUUGUUGGUGAGGUAAUGGCUCACCAAGGCGACGACGGGUAGCCGGCCUGAGAGGGUGACCGGCCACACUGGGACUGAGACACGGCCCAGACUCCUACGGGAGGCAGCAGUGGGGAAUAUUGCACAAUGGGCGAAAGCCUGAUGCAGCGACGCCGCGUGAGGGAUGACGGCCUUCGGGUUGUAAACCUCUUUCAGUAGGGAAGAAGCGAAAGUGACGGUACCUGCAGAAGAAGCACCGGCUAACUACGUG
rnacentral:rRNA from 1 species